AGGCCACUGCACCUCUAUAGCUAAAUGCCUUUUUCAGCUAAUUUGUUUUAGGCUUUUUACCUGGAAAGGGCAUUUAGCUACAGAGGUGCAGUGGCCU